rnacentral:rRNA from 1 species
UUUUAAAUUGAGAGUUUGAUCCUGGCUCAGGACGAACGCUGGCGGCGUGCCUAACACAUGCAAGUCGAGCGAUGAAACUUCCUUCGGGAAGUGGAUUAGCGGCGGACGGGUGAGUAACACGUGGGUAACCUGCCUCAAAGAGUGGGAUAGCCUCCCGAAAGGGAGAUUAAUACCGCAUAACAUUAUUUUAUGGCAUCAUAAAAUAAUCAAAGGAGCAAUCCGCUUUGAGAUGGACCCGCGGCGCAUUAGCUAGUUGGUGAGGUAACGGCUCACCAAGGCAACGAUGCGUAGCCGACCUGAGAGGGUGAUCGGCCACAUUGGAACUGAGAUACGGUCCAGACUCCUACGGGAGGCAGCAGUGGGGAAUAUUGCGCAAUGGGGGAAAC